rnacentral:rRNA from 1 species
AGUGAACGCUGGCGGUAGGCCUAACACAUGCGAGUCGAACGGCAGCACAGUAAGAGCUUGCUCUUACGGGUGGCGAGUGGCGGACGGGUGAGGAAUACAUCGGAAUCUACUUUUUCGUGGGGGAUAACGUAGGGAAACUUACGCUAAUACUGCAUACGACCUACGGGUGAAAGCAGGGGAUCUUCGGACCUUGCGCGAUUGAAUGAGCCGAUGUCGGAUUAGCUAGUUGGCGGGGUAAAGGCCCACCAAGGCGACGAUCCGUAGCUGGUCUGAGAGGAUGAUCAGCCACACUGGAACUGAGACACGGUCCAGACUCCUACGGGAGGCAGCAGUGGGGAAUAUUGGACAAUGGGCGCAAGCCUGAUCCAGCCAUACCGCGUGGGUGAAGAAGGCCUUCGGGUUGUAAAGCCCUUUUGUUGGGAAAGAAAAGCAGCAGGUUAAUACCCCGCUGUUCUGACGGUACCCAAAGAAUAAGCACCGGCUAACUUCGUG